GAUGAAUGCUGGCGGCGUGCCUAACACAUGCAAGUCGAGCGGCAGCGCGAGUAGUUUACUACUUGGCGGCGAGCGGCGGACGGCUGAGUAACGCGUGGGAACGUGCCCCAAAGUGAGGGAUAACGCACUGAAAGGUGUGCUAAUACCGCAUAUGAUCUUCGGAUUAAAGAAUUUACUCGCUUUGGGAGCGGCCCGCGUCGGAUUAGGUAGUUGGUAGGGUAAUGGCCUACCAAGCCGACGAUCCGUAGCUGGUCUGAGAGGAUGACCAGCCAGACUGGAACUGAGACACGGUCCAGACUCCUACGGGAGGCAGCAGUGAGGAAUCUUCCACAAUGGGCGAAAGCCUGAUGGAGCAACGCCGCGUGCAGGAUGAAGGCCUUCGGGUUGUAAACUGCUUUUAUAAGUGAAGAAUAUGACGGUAACUUAUGAAUAAGCACCGGCUAACUACGUGCCAGCCGCCGCCGUAA
rnacentral:rRNA from 1 species